rnacentral:rRNA from 1 species
UACGAGGGGGCAAGCGUUGUUCGGAAUCACUGGCGUAAAGCGCACGUAGGCGGAUCUUUAAGUCAGGGGUGAAAUCCCAAGGCUCAACCUUGGAACUGCCUUUGAUACUGGGGAUCUCGAGUCCGGAAGAGGUGAGUGGAACUGCGAGUGUAGAGGUGAAAAUUCGUAGAUAUUCGCAAGAACACCAGUGGCGAAGGCGGACUCGACUGGCCCGAGUACCUGACGCUGAUGUGCGAAAGCCAGGG